rnacentral:snRNA from 1 species
GGGUGUGAGGGUGAUCUGGCUGCGACAUCUGUCACUCCACUGAUCUCCAGGGUUGAUUCGGCUGAUCUGGCUGGCAAGGUGGGUGACCCCUUCCUCCCUCACCACUCCAUUGUGACCCUCCCGAAGCUGCACACUAGGUCGAAGAGGAUGACCUUCCCCAAAUAGAGGAGGACCGGUCUUCAGUCAAGGGAUUACGAGCAGCUGUGCUCCCCUGCUAGAACCUCCAAACAAGCUCUCAAACAAAUAAAAUAUUUAAAAAAAAAUGGCCACUCCGGGUUCAGUGAGAGACUCAAUCUAAAGGAAAUCAACUGGAAGAGCAAUAGAGGAGAGUAUCUGAUGUUCUCCUGU